AGAGCUUUCACCUCCACACGUACAGGAAGUACUCCGUGGCUUCUCUUUGGCACAUCCGGGAUGCAGCGUUACCACCCCCGCACUUUUGUGCCAUCGUUCGGUGACCAACGGUUACUUGAGCAGAAGCACUGUGUUGCCACCAACAGUCAACCUUACUACGGAGAUGGUUAUCAAUAGGCAGUCGGUGACUGGACCAAGACAUAAUUCACAGCCCAGGCGGCAUACAACUCAAAUAUUAUGAGGACCCCACAGAGGUUGACAGAAACAUCAGGGAAAAUCCUUGGAUUGUUUUCCCAGGAGAAGGUGGAAGGGAACAGUUCCAGAGGAGCUCACUCGGAACUUCACCAUCACUGGGAAUGGCUGCUGUUCUCCCUCAGGGGAGCACUGACCUUCACCAUGAGCAUCACUUCCUGGCUCCAAUGUGGAUCACUCAGACUGGUGGCACAAAUCCUUCACCCCACUGGCGCAGUUUUUCUGGCUUCCACCCCUGGCUUUGGACCUUCUGGGUGCAGAUCCUUGAUAUUAACAAACAUGAAUUGACGCCAAGGGCUCUAGGCCUCCAGCUGGACUCAUGCAGGACAUUGCAUUGGACUCGAGGCCUUCAGCUGCACUCAUGCGGGACAUUGCUUUAAGACCCAGGCCCUUCGCUAGAUGCUUUGGGUUUCUGGUGUGCAACUAAUCUCUUGUGCUCCUCUGCAUUUGACUUUUUGGGUGAAUAUUAUAAAAUAAUCCUAUAAAUUCUGUGUCCUGUAUUAAAUCUAUUCUUUUGCAAACCUUGACUACAACAACCAUCCACCAACUCAAAGUUGGCUCUACACUUUGCUUCCCUUUAGAACAAGGCAGAGAAGCAGAGGACUAACCAACUCACUUGAUCCUGGGUGAGGACAAUGCACAGAGUAAGGCCAGAGCAACCAGACCCCAUGACAGUUGACACUAAGACCAAUAGUCCACCUGAAGUUCCACUCUGCUGCCUACAUCCAGCAGAAACCAGAUGGCUGAUUGUGUUUUCCAACUCCCAACAGCAGCAACAAGAACAUGUCUUGGCCUCAAAUUUAACCAGAGUAAAUGGACAGGGAUCCUCUAAGAUAGAGAACUACAGAGGACACCAGAUGUGCUGUCACAAUUAUUGUUCAAUCCCCUCACUUUGUUUAGAGCAUGGUUUAUUAUUUCUGCUGCCAGAGAAUUUUCAGGGUGGAGGAGCUGUAAUUCAAGGAAGAUUCAAGCAGCAGAACACACUGGGGUUCUGCCCCCCCCAGGCUUCUGCUCUAGGAAUCAGGACUGCAUCUACUCUGAGGGAGAAAUGAAGUAAGAACUGAUGACUAGUUCUCCCUCUUUGUCUGUAAGUUCUACAUCUUUGGAUUCAACCAACCAUGAGUUGAAAAUGUCUA
rnacentral:lncRNA from 1 species